UACGAAGGGGGCUAGCGUUGCUCGGAAUCACUGGGCGUAAAGCGCACGCAGGCGGAUCGUUAAGUCAGGGGUGAAAUCCCGAGGCUCAACCUCGGAACUGCCUUUGAUACUGGCGACCUUGAGUCCGGGAGAGGUGAGUGGAACUGCGAGUGUAGAGGUGAAAUUCGUAGAUAUUCGCAAGAACACCAGUGGCGAAGGCGGCUCACUGGCCCGGUACUGACGCUGAGGUGCGAAAGCGUGGGGAGCAAACAGGG
rnacentral:rRNA from 1 species